rnacentral:sRNA from 1 species
ACAAGUUUCCUAAUCAAGCAGCUGAGAGGGUGACUCCUUGUCAGAAGAGGAGGAUCCUGUGCAAGCACUGAGUUCUCUGGAACAUUAAAGGCGAGCCAUCGUUGAUUGGCCUCAACUCUUGUGAAGGGUCUCAUUCGCAUGAAAAUAUGCUACAACCUCUGAGCUUGUCUCUGCCGACACUCACAAAAGUAAAAGAUGUCACACAGAACACCCAAGUCCAUCAUCUUCCAUCUCAGGGACCAACGGUAAUGGCUUCAGCGGCAUCACCGUGCCCAUUGAAAGUACAACGAAUGGAUACAACUGAGAGGCAUCAUAUGAAGAAAAGCAACUCAAACUCAACAAACAUCGCAUCCUCUCUGGUCUGUGGAUCUUACAUUUAUACAGAGACAUAAGCUCAUCAUGAGUACCUGACCUGACGUAGACAUGAACGUGUCCAGAAAGACAAAGAGGAUUAACGGGAGGCAGGAAAGAAGUCAGGGGUAGAGUGGCGUGGUCAAAGUGUAAGAUAUAUUUCUAUAAACGCAUCCUUAUGAAACUCACUGCCAUGGACAAUGAAUGCAUGCCAAUAAAAACAAAAUAACAACAAUAAAAAUAAAAUCGUUUCCCUCCGAGAGCUCUGCCUGUCUGACAGAUCCGUCAGUCUCUCUGCCACCGAACACUGA